GUGUGCUGUAUUUUCUAUCAGCUUCUGAUAAGGAUGGGGAACGCUGAAGACUCAGAAAGGAGUGACCGAGAUGAGGAAAAAGCUCUAAAUCUCCACACUGAAAGGUUUAAAGAAAUGUUACAGAGACGGGCUAUCAAGGAAUGAGGACUAUACACACAUCUCUCUGCGAUAACAGGACUCAGUAGCAACCCGAGUGGCUCCAAGUCUCAAGGAAGUUUCCACUGCCUCCCAGUUUUCUCCUGCCACGUGACUGCAGGAACUUGAAGUGGCUCCAAAGACUGAGACCAAGGUGCCUGUCCUGACCCUUCCAGCAAGAGUCCUUGGAGGACCUUUGUGCCAGUGUCACAGGGGCAGGGGCUUUCUGAUCAUUUCCUUUCCAUUGCCUUCUAAGCCAGUCCCUUUAUAUUACAGAUGGAGACAUGAGGACCAAAAGAGGUGACUUGUUCAAGGCCACUGUUAAUCCAUCUCUUUGCCAAUACUGGUACCCCAAUCUCAUGUCUUCCAUUUCUAAUGCUCUCUUCUUUCCCUUAAUCUAAAUCAUCUUAAUCUUUCCGAUUUCUGAAUGAACUGUGUGUCUUCUAUUACCUCUGAGCUUUUGCAGACAAGCUGUUCCAUCUGAAGGUCCACCAUCUCCCUGUAUAGUAGUGGACCCUUCACAUUUGACAAGUGACUGGUUGAGUCCUAAGAUCUUAGUGAAAACAUCAUUUCCUGUAGGAUGCUCUUCCUGACCUUCUGAGACAGAGUUACAUGUCACUCCUGUGUCUUCUACCAUCUAUGCGUGCAUGCUAAGUCACUCUUGUCAUGUGCAAUGCCGUGCAAUCUUCUGGGCUAUAGCCUGCCAGGCUCCUCUGUCCUUGGGAUUCUCCAGGCAAGAGUGGGAUACUGGAGUGGGUUGCCAUUUCCUCCUCCAGGGGAUCUUCUCAACCCAGGGAUUGAACCUGAGUCUUUUAUGUCUCCUGCAUUGGCAGGAGAAUUCCUUACCACUAGCACCACCUGGAAAGCAUUUCUCACCCUAUGCUGUUAUCAUCGGGACUUCCUACCAGCUGUAGGUUCAAUGAGGACAGAGAUGUAUCAUGCCAUGGUUGUAUCCCUGAUGUUGUGUACAUUUCUUGGGUCUCAGUAACUGUAUUUAGAACAUAUCAAUGAACAAAAGAGCAAGCAUUCUCUGAAGAGUGAGGGUUGAGGGAAGAAUGUUAGUGAUAAGUGGGGACCUGACUUGGGCAGGUAGAACUGAUAGAAAAGGAGGUGCCUCUGUGAAGCCUAGAUCCCAACUGAGCAUUUCUCUGUGAUUAUUCUCCUUUGAACCUUAGAAUAUCUAUUCUUUCAAUUCUAAUCAUUUGGUAUUUCUAGAGAGGCUUACAGCAAAGUCAUGAUUAAUUGAGGAAGGUCAUGCCUAAGAAGAGAAGGCAAUGGCAACCCAUUCCAGUGCUCUUGCCUGGAAAAUCCCAUGGACAGAGGAGCCUGGUAGGCUGCAGUCCAUGGGGUCAUGAAGAGUCAGACAUGACUGAGCAACUUCACUUUCACUUUUCACUUUCAUGCAUUGGAGAAAGAAAUGGCAACCCACUCCAGUGUUCUUGCUUGGAGAACCCCAGGGACAGUGGAGCCUGGUAGGCUGCUGUCUAUGGGGUCACACAGAGUCGGACACGGCUGAAGUGACUUAGCAGCACGCUUAAG
ensembl:lncRNA